rnacentral:rRNA from 1 species
UGGGGAAUAUUGCACAAUGGGCGAAAGCCUGAUGCAGCAACGCCGCGUGAAGGAUGAAGGGUUUCGGCUCGUAAACUUCUAUCAAUAGGGACGAAAAAAAUGACGGUACCUAAAUAAGAAGCCCCGGCUAACUACGUGCCAGCAGCCGCGGUAAUACGUAGGGGGCAAGCGUUAUCCGGAAUUACUGGGUGUAAAGGGAGAGUAGGCGGCAUGGUAAGUUAGAUGUGAAAGCCCGGGGCUUAACCUCGGGAUUGCAUUUAAAACUAUCAAGCUAGAGUACAGGAGAGGUAAGUGGAAUUCCUAGUGUAGCGGUGAAAUGCGUAGAUAUUAGGAAGAACAUCAGUGGCGAAGGCGACUUACUGGACUGAAACUGACGCUGAGGCUCGAAAGCGUGGGGAGCGAACAGG